GUGACCUCAAAUCAGGUAGGACUACCCGCUGAACUUAAGCAUAUCAAUAAGCGGAGGAAAAGAAACUAACAAGGAUUCCCUAGUAACUGCGAGUGAAGCGGGAAAAGCUCAAAUU
rnacentral:rRNA from 1 species